AUAGAAAGGGAAGAAGAUUUCCGGGAAGAAGGGAGACAGAAAGAGUGAGGAGGGGAGAGAGAGAGAGACAGAGAAAGAUUGCGGGCGUGUGCGCGCGCGUCCUUCCUAAAAGAGGAGCGCUCUUCGUCCUUGAAGCGCCCUUGACGCGUCAACAUCGUCGGCUUCGCUUCGCACGGCCUCCACUCGGAUCCACCGCGAACUAAUCGCCUUUAGAAAGCUUCGUUUGGUUUGCCUGCGACGCGUCGUAGGGCGUGGUCUAAGCGCACACCCGCUGACCUCCUGCCAUGGCAGCCAUCUUUGGAAGUGCCACGUCUCGGAAUGGUGCGAGGGUGAAAGUUAGGAAAAAGGUGAAACGAUCAAAAAUGAAAGAUUAACUUUGGAGAUCAUCGGGGAACGUUCAAACCACAUAUAGGAUAUGUAUGUAUGAUUUUUCUAAAGCCCUGCUCCAAUGUCCACGUAAACUCUGAUUCUUUUGCCGUUUAUCGCUCAAGAUUAUUGUCCUAUCCUCUCUAUCUCUCUUUUUCUUUUUUUCAUCUACAAAAAAUCGUUCCGCCAAACUUCCUCUUUUCGUACGUAGUAUUUAUCUCGGCAAGUGUACGAAUCUAAAUUCGUACGUAAGAGAGGAAAGAAAGAAUAAAACCGCGAUAGCUUGCGGUGCCGAUGUAGUAGCCGUUGUCGUCCGGCUUUGCGGGUUAAUGCAGCGCGAUAGCGUGCGAUGCGGUGCGGAAAAGCGUGAAUCUACUGAUAAAAAGUUAAAAGAAGAAAAAGGAAAAAAAAAGUGGGAGGAAAAAGAAGCCAAAAAAGAAAAAAAAAAGGAAAAAAGUAAUACCCAGAGGAUAGAUCGUGUGAGGACGAACUAAUGAACGAGCGAGCGAGCGAGCGAUCGUUUGCAGAGUUAAAAAAAAA